UACGUAGGGUGCAAGCGUUGUCCGGAAUUAUUGGGCGUAAAGAGCUCGUAGGCGGUCUGUCGCGUCGGCUGUGAAAACCCGGAGCUCAACUCCGGGCCUGCAGUCGAUACGGGCAAACUGGAGUGUUGCAGGGGAGACUGGAAUUCCUGGUGUAGCGGUGAAAUGCGCAGAUAUCAGGAGGAACACCGGUGGCGAAGGCGGGUCUCUGGGCAACAACUGACGCUGAGGAGCGAAAGCGUGG
rnacentral:rRNA from 1 species